GGAAAUCAAAACAUAAUGUCAGCAAAGCAUCAAAAAAUGCUGGAUAAUAUGAAGUGGAUGUACAUUUAAAGAUCUCUUUAUACCUCUCACACAAAGACACCACCCAGAUCACAGCCUUAAUGUCAUAAAUCAGUACCAGGUUCUGAUCAUAUAUUUUAUCUUCUAAAAACAAAAGACUCAAUUAUCAGAUUUUUUUUCCCCUUUUCUCAUUUUUUAAACACAGACGUAAGAAGUGGAUGAUCUGAUACUGGGUCAUUUUGGCACAUUAGCUACAUUAACCCAGAAAGGCAGUGACCCAGUUAAGCUGUCACUGCUAAAAGCUGCAUGGUGCACUUUCAAGACGCCAUCGUAUCAAAAUAUACAAAACCCCUAUAAACUAUGAAGACCCACCCGGUGGCCUGGAUGUUAAAUUAGUACUAAGUGGAUAUAAAUCUUGAGUUUGUGACGCGCUCGCCUGUGCCCUCUGUGUUGGUGGGCUCCCUGUGUUUGUUUACAUCCAGAUUCUCGCCACAGCCUCAGUGUCUGAGGGCCAUAAACGGACAAAGGUGUUGCAUAAAAGUGGGGCUGCCCACUCAGUGCUCCGGGGGCAGCAACCAGGGGCACAGCACAGCACACAGGCAGAUGCUUUUAAUUAUGUCCAUCUGAAUCUGAAUAGGGACAGAGGGGUCUGGAAAAAGGGGCAGUAGAGCAGAGGGUAAAAGGUUUACGGCGCCACCUUCCCCACCCCCAAACACAGAGCGCAUGCCAAGCUCGCACAAACAGUGUUUAAUCCUGCAGUAAGCCAUGCAGCAGAUGGUCUGUGGACUCGCCUGUCAUGUCUGAGAAAGUCUCCCUCUCUCACACACACACAUACACACACACACACACACACUCUCUGAGCCUUACAUGGCUCGCAUACACCCCUCAGUGUCCAAGGGCAGGAACUGCACAAACAGACCAGAAAAAA